GGCUGUAUAGCUCAUUGACACUGCAUCUGCUUUGCAUGCAGAAGGUCCCAGGUUCAAUUCCCAGUAGGGCUG